rnacentral:rRNA from 1 species
UACAGAGGGGGCAAGCGUUGUUCGGAAUUACUGGGCGUAAAGGGCGCGUAGGCGGCCUUCUAAGUCAGACGUGAAAUCCCUCGGCUCAACCGGGGAACUGCGUCUGAGACUGGAAGGCUUGAAUCCGGGAGAGGGAUGUGGAAUUCCAGUUGUAGCGGUGAAAUGCGCAGAUAUCAGGAGGAACACCAAUGGCGAAGGCAGCUCGCUGGAACGGUACUGACGCUGAGGCGCGAAAGCGUGGGGAGCGAACAGG